rnacentral:rRNA from 1 species
CCUACGGGAGGCAGCAGUGGGGAAUAUUGCACAAUGGGGGAAACCCUGAUGCAGCGACGCCGCGUGAGUGAAGAAGUAUCUCGGUACGUAAAGCUCUAUCAGCAGGGAAGAAAAUGACGGUACCUGACUAAGAAGCACCGGCUAACUACGUGCCAGCAGCCGUGGUAAUACGUAGGGGGCAAGCGUUAUCCGGAUUUACUGGGUGUAAUGGGAGCGUAGCCGGCAGCACAAGUCUGGAGUGAACUCCCGGGGCGUAACCCCGGAACUGCUUUGGAAACUGUGCGGCUGGAGUGCAGGAGGGGUAAGCGGAAUGCCUGGUGUAGCGGUGAAAUGCGUAGAUAUUAGGAGGAACACCGGUUGCGAAGGCGGCUUACUGGACUGUAACUGACGUUGAGGCUCGAAAGCGUGGGGAGCGAACAGGAUGAGAUACCCGUGUAGUC